CCUACGGGUGGCUGCAGUGAGGAAUAUUGGUCAAUGGACGAGAGUCUGAACCAGCCAAGUAGCGUGAAGGAUGACUGCCCUAUGGGUUGUAAACUUCUUUUAUAUGGGAAUAAAGUGUUCCACGUGUGGAUGUUUGUAGGUACCACAUGAAUAAGGACCGGCUAAUUCCGUGCCAGCAGCCGCGGUAAUACGGAGGAUCCGAGCGUUAUCCGGAUUUAUUGGGUUUAAAGGGAGCGUAGGUGGAUUGUUAAGUGAGUUGUGAAAGUUUGCGGCUCAACCGUAAAAUUGCAGUUGAAACUGGCAGUCUUGAGUGCGGUAGAGGUGGGCGGAAUUCGUGGUGUAGCGGUGAAAUGCUUAGAUAUCACGAAGAACUCCGAUUGCGAAGGCAGCUCACUGGACUGCAACUGACACUGAGGCUCGAAAGUGUGGGUAUCAAACAGGAUUAGAUACCCUUGUAGUC
rnacentral:rRNA from 1 species